UCCAAACGACCCAUUGCCAUUGUUCUUCUUCUGCAACAGAGAACCAAAAAUAGACCCCCCUUUUCGUUUUAAUUUCCUUGAGCAACCAUGAACAAGGAAGCAGCCAUAAACAGUGCCUCUUAGCUUUCUUCUUCUUCUCUAGUGAACACCACCAAAACCUUAGGGACCUAAGCUUCUUCUUCAACCAACACAAACGACCCCUUCAUUGCUGAUCGGCCUUCUUCAACAGAACAGUGACGAGUUCGCCAAAAAACGAGUUGAAAAGACCACCAACAUCUCCUUACUCACGUCGUCAUACCACCCUUCAUCCCUCUCUGUAUUCUUUCUUCAACCAUGACAUACCUCCUUGACCAAGAAAGCCCUCCAUCGUCGUAGCUUCCCAUUACAACACACACACACACAUAGCUGCAACGGGAGGGCAACAUCAGUGAAAGAUCAGGAGUGAAAGGGAGGUGACGAGUGGUGUUCGAAAAGUCGAUGAAACAGUAGUCUCGAUAUAGGUUCAUCCGAGUUGUCCGUCUGCGAAGCCGAGGUGUCGUACAAGUUUGUCGAUAACGGUUCUGAUCUCAGUUCAUUCGAAAGACUUCUCUGAAUUUUGGUUUAGAGGUAAAUUCCCAUGCUUCAUGUUUUGGAGAUUUUUUGCCUAAUUAUGUUUCAGAAAUGAAAAGAUUAGAUUCGUUGCUUAUCUUAUCCCCUGCAAUUUCUUCUUUCUCUUUAUGAAUGUGAGUCUAUGCUGAAAUUUUGCUUAGAUGUUUUGGUCCUAGAGCCAUAUAUUUAGAGUUCUUAAUUCCAUUUGUUCACUAGUUGUGAUACAUGCUUAUAUUUAUUUCUGUUAAAGCAUCAAUAACUUUUAGGAUCCUGAUUGUGUUGCUAUUUGAGUUACAUUAGUGGUAUUUUAAGCUUUAAAAUGAAUCGAACAAUUAGAGCUCUUGAUAUUUAGGCUACUGUAAUGGUAACUGAUGAAUGGGCCACACGAGUUUAAAACUCUCCGGCUCAAUGACUGUUUUGUUCGCCUAAUUGGUUUGGCCUAACUGUCAGUAAGGCUACAAACUAGCCCACGUUUCCGAUACUAAUUUAUUUUGUUCCUUCCACAAUAAUUUCCGUGACACGUGGCUCUCACAAAUGUUGCUAUUGAAAAUUGAAUUUUGUAGUUUGCUUUAGGAGCGUUCCUUAAAUUGAUUUUCUUUAAUUACUAAUUUCGGGUGUGCAUUUCAUGUGACUCAAAUCCAAAUCCCAACAACGUUGAAUAAAAUAUGUCGCGGAUUGCGGUGCAUUUCAUGUAGUGCGAUCCAAAGACAUGUUUUGAACGACGUUCAAUCUUCCUUAAAAAUUGAAUAAAAGCGGUUAAAAAGCUAAAAUCGGCACAUAGUUUCAUAAUUGAUUAAAAUCAGAUAAAUAAGCUGAAUAUAGCAGUUAGGAGACCGUGCUAGAACCACGGAACUCGGGAAUGCCUAACACCUUCUCCCGGGUUAACAGAAUUCCUUACCCGGAUUUCUGGUUCGCGGACUGUAUUACAGAGUCAACCUUUUCCUCGACUCGGGAUUCGAACCGGCGACUUGGGACACCAUAAAUCUCCCAAGUGGCAACUCUGAAUUUCUUAAUAUAAAUCCCGUUUCGAUUGUCUUUUAAUUGGAAAAAUUCUUUUAUACUCCCUUACGUGGUGUAAGUGAAAAAAGGAGGUGUGACAAUCACCUAGUGUUUUUUUGCAUCCAUUGGGAUUUGAACCUAAGAUCUUAUGGUUCUCACUCAUUUCAUUGACCACUAGGCCACACCUUUGGAUGCUAAUGCUAGUAACAUUUCUGAGACGUCCUAGUACGAACGGAGCCUCGAAGUAACUUGGGAAUUGAAGGAUAAUCGGCACAAUAAGAAAAUUGGCGAAGCUCACACUUGCAAGUUUUAUCAUAUUUUUGCUGUCAACACUGAAAACAUAAGGGAUUUGCAGUAAUGCAAAUUUAAUAUCAAUGAACAAAUAAAAGACAAGGGAAGUCUCAAUCACCAGAAUUCCUAAUUCUUAUAGAGAUUUGACCAUCAAAUACCGAUUGAUUAAUUUAUUCCUGGAAAUAGAAACUUUCCUAUUGCAGAAUUCUGAGCAUAAAGAAAGAUCAAAUUCUUUGGUUUCUUAUGCUUUUUUUUUUGUUAGUUCAAAUGUACCAAGCUAUCAAUCAGUCAACAAACACAACCCUCCCUCUUGAGAAGAACCAAGUACGUACCCCAAUAUUGUUUCUAAUCUUUCUUUUAGAGAAAUGUGAAAUUGCGGUAACUGAAUCCAAUGUGCAUCAGGAUGAAAAAAAGAAAGCAACAAAAGACUAAUGGUGUGUUUGGUACGAAGUAAAUAUUUUCCGAAAAAUAUUUUCCAAUUUUUUCAUGUUUGGUUGGCUUAAAUGUUUUGAAAAAUAUUUUCCUUUUGAACCCAUUGGAGUAAAAUGUUUUCCUUAUCAACACAAGGAAAAACAUUUUCCAAAACUCCUUCUCAACCUUCCCCCCUACGCACCCAACCCCCUCUCCAAAAGGCUCUUUUUUUUUUUAAAUUUCAGUUUUUUUUCCGUCACCACACACCCUGCUAUCCCACCCCCUUCGUGCGUGCAAUUUUUUUUUUUUUUAAUUUUUCAAAUUUCUAUUUUUCGUUUUUUUUUUGCACCACCCCCACCCCGCCAAACCCCCAUCCCCCCUCCCCCCGGAAAAAAUAUUUUUUUAAUAUAUUUUCAGUUUUACUUUUUUCAUCUUUCGGAUUAUAGGUUCGAAAUUUUACAAGUUCCAAAGUUAUGAGUUUGGAGGUUUAUGUGUUUGGAUGUUUACGGGUUUAGAAAUAUUUAUAAAAUUUACGGGUUCGAAAGUUCGCAGUUUCGAAAGUUUAGCGGUUCGGAAGUUUAUGAAAUUUGUAGGCUCAGAAGGUUGUUGGUUCGAAAAUUUAUGGCUUCAUAUUUAUUGUAUCUAAAUUAAUUAUGAAUACUCUUGAAACGUUAUUUUCCUUAAUUUGUAUAUCAAAUACCGGAAAAUGAAUAAGAUUACUACUUGUUUUCCAAAAAAAUAUUUUCUUGAAUAACAUUUUCCGUUAUACCAAACACAUCCUAAAUCUCCGGUUUAGUUCUAAAAUACAUCAUAAUGUCAAAUGAGAAUGGAAAAAAGUAUAGGUUAGAGAAAAACAGAAGUGGGAAAAGUCAGACAAACAAUGAUUGAAAUCAGAGAUGGCCAACGAAAGGAACUAAAUCAAAGUAAGUCCAAACUGUGAAAUAGAUCAUAUCUUUAUAUAAAAAGAACAUAAAACACUCGUAUACAAUAUAAUGACCGGCGAAACAUGGCACAUCAAAUACGACAAAUGAAUUCAUAUUCUACACCUAGCAGAAAGUAUCCAGUAUGCUCUUCCAAACUUUCUCCACGUCAUGGCCCAUGCAGCAAACUUCAUAGACUGAGAUAGCAAUCUCAAAGCUUCAAUUUGGGUACUUUUUAAUAGAGUGAACGUAAUUACUCAAGGAGUAGAGGGUUUGUAUGAUGGAGAAAGUGAAGGAAAAGUUAGUUUAGGCAGUUCGGGGAUUUUAGGCUUUGGCAUAGCUGGAACUUCUGGUUUAGGAAGUUCGGGGAUUUUAGGCUUUGGAAGCUCUGGGAGUUUUGGCUUUGGCAGCUCUGGGAUUUCUGGUUUUGGCAAAGCUGGAACUUCAGGCUUUCUUAUAGUUGGAGGAACCUCCGUCUUUGGCACUGCUGGGAUUUCUGGCUUUUUCAAGGGAGGAAACUCGGGUUUUGGCAUUGCUGGAAUUUCAGGCUUUGGCAUAGCAGGAAGCUCGGGUUUUGGCACAGCUGGGAUCUCAUGCUUUGGCAAAGUUGGAGGCUUUGGGGCAGCUGGUAUCUCGGGCUUAGGCAUAGUAGGUACUUCAGGCUUUGGCAAAGUUGGUAACUCAGGUUUUUGGAUGGUUGGUAGCUCAGGCUUUGGCACAGUUGGUACUUCAGGCUUUUGGAUGGUUGGUAGCUCAGACUUUGGCACAGUUGGUACUUCAGGCUUUGGUAAAGUUGGUAACUCAGGCUUUGGGACAGUUGGUAGCUUGGCCUUUGGCACAAUUGGUACUUCAGGCUUUGGCAUAGUUGGUAACUCAGGCUUCGGGAUGGAUGGUAGCUCGGGCUUUGGCACAGUUGGUACUUCAGGUUUUGGCAUAAUAGGAAUCUCAGGCUUUGGGACAGCUGGCAUUUCAGGCUUUGGGACAGCUGGUAUUUCAGGCUUUGGGAUGGUUGGAAGCUCAGGUUUCGGCACAGUUGGGAUCUCAGGCUUUGGUAUGGCUGGAAUCUCAGGUUUCGGCACAGUUGGGAUCUCAGGCUUUGGCAAGGUUGGAACUUUUGGUAAUUCUGGUUUAGGAAUCUCAGGGAGGGGUGUCUCUAGUAGGCGCCGUGCAGUUGCACCAAUUAUGGGGCCAUGCAUGAAGCACAAGUUGAGAAAUGCAAGUAGUAAGAGGGAGGAUAGCUGGUAAUGGUGAGCCAUUUUUCUGCAGAUCCUAGAAGCUUGAAGAAGAAAGUGUAGAGUUAAUGAAACUGGGAUGUGUUAUUGGCUUUAAGUCUAUUGCUAUAUAUAGGUUUUAAAAUGCAUGCAGCAAUUGCUUCAUGAUUUUGUUUGUUACGUAAGGACCUAAUAAGUAGUUGAACUUCUCAUCCACUUGGCUUAAUCUCUGGUACCUCAAAAAGUCAAUGUGGAUUACCUAAUAACAUAUUAAAAGUCUGAACCUGUCACAAAUAUAUGGUAUGCUGGCAACCUGAUACCAAUUCCCAGUUUAGCUGUACUUAUUUCUCUAGAAAGAGAAAAGUCAUUGUUUCACAUUUACUGUAAAUCUUCAUUUUGGUAUGUACCUAAUGGCUCUAUCACCUGAGGAAAUUGACAGAAAUUACAAAUGUCAAACAAAAAGGUAUUGCUUCUCAAGGGAGUAAUGUUUUAACGGUUAAUAUGACCAUUAGAGGAUGCAAACAUGAUGAAAUGGACGACCAGAAGUGGGGAAAAUGGUAAACUUACCUCAUUAGUCACAUAUUACCCGUUAUUCUAUUUUCUAAACUAGCUAAUAUUAGAAUUGUAAGUACAAAGGUAGGCAAAAGAAUGACACUCAAGCCUAACGGAUUAAAACAGAGGGAAAAAGGAACUUGGUUUUACAGAGUACAAACUUACCACAAUGGCGUAGACUUAGCAUAAUCCGAUUAUUCUUUUGGUUCAAAAUUCAAAUGAUAGACUUUUGACAGUUUAUACGAUUUUCCAGGAAAUGAAAAUAGACAAUAGCUGAAACAAUAGCAUAUCAAAUCCAGACUCGUGAAUAGUUGCAUUGCAUAUACUAUAGCAUUGGUUUCGAUAUUGAGCCAGGUAAAAUAACAAUGAGGCAGCAGUACAGAAAGCAGACGGCAGAAGGUUCUUUUACAAUUAGUAAACGGAUCUCGCGCUUGACAGUUAUAUCACAUUCAGCCUUUGAUCAAAGAAACAAUGAGAUUGUUAAUACAAGUAAAUUCAGACAAAAACAUAAACAGGGUAUUAGAAGAGAUUCAGCUACACAGUUCCCGAUUUCUAAUGGAGACAACAUUAUACACUCUAGAGUUCUUCUCAUAACCAUGAGUGUACUGCUCAAAGGUACAGUCUAUAUAUAUAUAGUCGUUGUAGCUACCCUGAUCGUCUGAGCUCUGCUUCAGCUUUUGUCUUUAAUCCGUGGGAAAGGUUAGGAAGUUCACCGAAAGAGAUUGAUUGUUUACUAGAAAUAGAAAUAUGUAUAUUGGUUUAGUGCUGGAGAUAUGAAAAAGGAAAAAAAAAGAUAAUUCAAAAGGUCACAAUUAUUGAAGAUUUGAUUAAGUAAAUGAAAAUGUACCCUUCCUAACAAUUUAUGUUUUUAGAUGAAAUAGUCACAAUUCAACAUGAAUUAGAGCAGAUAGAGUCCUAGAUUCAAAACAAACCACCACCUAUUAUUAAAAAAAUUUCCAUAAUGUUGGGGAAUAACUUGAAUAUUAGAUGAGAUAGUCGCACAAUAAAGUGUUAAGAGAUUUUUUUGUAAUAAGGAAUGUGUUAGAGAAAUUUUAGCUAGUUCAUAUGUCCAUAACUAUCCAUUGCUCCACAAGCACAAUCUCCCUCUUGAGAGAAACCAGGUAUCCCCAUUGUCUUUUAUGUUUCUUUUAGAGCAUGCAAAAUUGUGGUAACUGAAUCCGUUGUGCAUUAGGAUGAAUGAGACAGAAAGCAACAAAUGCUUGAAUAUUCACUUUAGUUCUUGCAUUUGAGAUCACUGAUUAUUCUACCGGCGCUUAAAUAUGUUAAAUCAUCCUUUCCAUCUCUUUGUGAAGGAAGAAAGUGGUAAUAGGUUUUAAAUAAACGAAGGGGAGUAGGGGGGAAAACGAUUGAGCAAAAUCAGAUAGCCAACGGUAGGAACUAAAUAAAAGUGACUCUAGAAAGUGACAUAGAUUAUAGCUUUAUAACACUGUAUAAAAAGUUCAUAAAACACUCAUAUAGUAUAUAAUGACACGAUAAACAUGGUACAUCCAAUACAAAUAUUAUAAAAGAAUCAUAAUUUCUACUCCCUAGAGAAAGUAUCCAAUAUGUUGUGCCAAACUAUCUCCAUGUCAUGUCCACGCAGCAAACUUCAUGGACCAAGAUGGAAAUCUCAAAACACAGUUGGGUACCUUCUAAUAGAGUGAACAGUAUUAUAAUUACUCAAGGAGUAGCGGGUUUGUGUGGUGGAGAAAGUGAAGGAAAAGAUAUCUCUUUUGGUUUAGGCAGUUCUGGGAUUUCAGGCUUUGGCAUAGCUGGGACUUCUAGCUUUGGAAGCUCUGGUAGUUUUGGCUUUGGUAGCUCCGGGAUUUUUGUCUUUGGUAGUUCCGGGAUUUCUGGCUUUGGCACAAUUGGUACCUCGGGCUUUGGCAAAGCUGGAACUUCAGGCUUUUUCACAGCUGGAGGAACCUCGGUCUUUGGCACUGUUGGGAUUUCUGGCUUUGGCACAAUUGGUACCUCGGGCUUUGGCAAAGCUGGAACUUCAGGCUUUUUCACAGCUGGAGGAACCUCGGUCUUUGGCACUGUUGGGAUUUCUGGCUUUGGCACAAUUGGUACCUCGGGCUUUGGCAAAGCUGGAACUUCAGGCUUUUUCAUAGCUGGAGGAACCUCAGUCUUUGGCACUGUUGGGAUUUCUGGCUUUUUUAGGGGAGGAAGCUCGGGUUUUGGCAUUGCUGGGAUCUCAGGCUUUGACACAGCAGGAAGCUCAGGUUUUGGGGCAACUGGUAACUUAGGCUUGGGCACAGCUGGGAUCUCAGGCUUUGGUAACGUUGGUAACUCAGGCUUCGGGAUAGAUGGUAGCUCGGGCUUUGGCACAGUUGUUACUUCAGGUUUUGGGAUAAUAGGAAUCUCUGGCUUUGGAACAGCUGGUAUUUCAGGCUUUGGUAUGGUUGGAAGCUCAGGCUUCGGCACAGUUGGGAUCUCAAGCUUUGGCAAGGUUGGAACUUUAGGGAACUCUGGUUUAGGAAUCUCGGGGAGGGGCAUCUCUAGAAGACGACGUGCAGUUGCUCCAGUUAUCGGGCCAUGGAUGAAGCACAAGUUGAGAAAUGCAAGCAGUAAGAGGGAGGAUAGCUGGUAAUGGUGAGCCAUUUUUCUGCAAAUCCUAGAAGCUUAAAGAAGAAUGCUUAUAGAAUCAAUGAAACUCAGAUAUGUGUUAUUGGCUUUAAGUCUAUUGCUAUAUAUAGGUUUUUAGUGCAAGCAAAACAUUAGUUUAAAGAUUUUGUUUGUUACGUAAGGACCUAUGUAGUUGAACUUCCCAUCCAUUUGGCUUCAUGUCUGGUACCUUAAAAAGUCAAUUUAUUGGAUUACCUAAUUAACAUACUAAUAGUCUGAACCUGUCACAAACAUCUGGUAUGCUGGCAACCUGAUAACAAUUCUCAGCUUAGCUGUUCUUAUUUCUUUAUAAAGAGAAAAGAACGGGUAAUGAAAAAUGGAUCAAUUAUCCAAUCCGACCCAUUUUUAAUACGGAUAAAAACGGAUUAGCCGGUGGAUAAUAUGGUUAACCAUAUUAUCCAUGACUUCUUGCAUAUGAUCACUUUUGAGAGAAUUUUUAGUCUCCCUAACUUGAGGAACCCCCAAUUUGAGGCUUUACAAAUGUAAAAGUUAGACCUAUUGAAUAUCAAUUGGUUACCCAUUGGUUAUCCAUUUUCUAAAUGGAUAAUAUGUUUCUUAUCCGUAUUUAACCCGUUUUUAAAAACUUCAUUAUCCAACCCAUUUUCUAGUGGAUAAUAUAUAUGGGUGGUUAACUGUUUUCUUUUAACCAUUUUGCAACCCCUAAUUACAAAUGUCAAACAGAAAGGUAUUGCUUCACAUUUUCUAUCGAGCUAAAGGGAGUAAUAAUGCUUUAACGGGGUUAAUAUGACCAUUAGAGGAUGCAACAUGAAUAGUUGCAUUGCAUAUAGCAUUGGCCUCGAUCUGGAGCCAGGUAAAAUAACAAUGAGGCGGCUGUAUAGAAAGUAGACAGCAAUUAUAAUUGGUAAAAGGAUCUCGUGCUUGACAGUUAUAUCACAUGUAGCCUUUCAGCAAAGAAACAAUGAGAUUUUUUUACAAGUAAAUUGACACAAAUACAUAAACAGGGUAUUAGAAGAGAUUCAGCUACAAAGUUCCCGAUUUGUAAUAGAGACAAGAUUAUCACUCUAGUGUUCUUCCCACAACCAUGAGUGCACUGCUUAAAGAUACAAUCUAUAUAGUCGAUGCAGCUACCCUGAAGUAUGAGCUGCUGAGAAGGGAAAAAGAUAGAUUCAAAAGGUCAUGAUUACUGAAAAUAGGAUUAAAUAAAUGAAAUUUUACCCUCUCGUACGGUUUGUGCUGAGGUGUCAUUUGUGGUUUUAAUGUUAUGUUGUGGGAUUUGACGCCUCGAGUAGGUCCGUGUUAUAUUUUGGGACUUGCUGGUAUGAUUUGACGGGGUCCUAAGGGGUGUGGGUAUUUUUUGGAUCAUUGGUGGAGAAACUAGUUAAGUUAAGAAAUUUGAAGUUUGACUGUCACGACCCAAACCAAAGGGCUACGACGGACACCCGAUACCUUACUCAACCGGGUACCAACAUAACAUAUCUUUCUUAUCGUACUAUCAUGGGUAAAUGUCCCAAAAGGGUCGUCAUGAGAUAAACAGAAUAAAACAUAAGUUAACGCUAGACAUAAGAACUUAUACAUGUGAAAUACGUGCAAAUAAGACCAAAAUGAUCACUCAUACACUGAACAUGGGCCGACAAGGCCAUACAAUUUUCAUAUACAUGACAUCUGUUUACAAGCCUCUAAGAGUACAUACACAACAUAAAGGUCGGGACAGGGCCCCGCCAUACCAAUCAAUACAUAUCCAAAGCAUACUGACCAAAUAGGCAACUCCGGAACAAGUGGAGUGUACUAAUACUUCCGCUGAGCUGAUAGCCUACUUGGAGGACUGUCAACCUAUCAAUCGGGACCUGCGGGCAUGAAACGCAGUGUCCCCAGGCAAAAAGGACGUCACUACAAAUAAAGUACCGAGUAUGUAAGGCAGGAAAGCAUAAACAAGAACAGUAAUAUAAAGAGAGAUAGAGGAGAUACAAUCUGUAACAUCUGAGUGCCUCUGGGGGCUACUGAUAUGAAACACAUAAUACAUAUAUAUACAUAAACUUUAAAAAAUAUUUGACUCUGUGGGCGUCAUCAUCAUCAUAUCGUACCCGGCCUCAAAGAGGACUCGGUAAAAAUGUACCGGGCCGUCAUAAGGCUUGGUAGAAUCGUACCCGGCCACGUGGAGCUCGUUAAACCCAACUGAUCAGUGGUUGCACAAUAAGUGUCGUACCCGACCGACUAUAGCGCGGCUUGGUAGAGUAAAAUAUAUACUAUAUAUAAUGCAUGCUUGACUCAUGGAAUCACGUUCUAAACCUUUCGAAGUGACUUAAGGUCGUUGCACCUUUAGUUAACAUUAUGGACAUCCAUACCCUCAAUAUGAACCUCAGUAGGAUUUAAGGUCAUACACACUUGCUUAGAAUAAUUUUAUAAGAAAAGAACAACAUGAACAACCUUAGUUCCUAGGAGUAGAUCCGUUAUGAAUUAGCGUAUCGUUUAUGUUCCUAUCGCUUUAGAUCAUGCCAAAAAAAAUAAGUAAGUGCCUUAACAUACUUUAUCACAAUCUUUCCAAUCACCAAGUUGAACUCGCCUCUUCGCACCUUAAUCUACAACAAUGAUAAUAAUACUAUAAUCAAGUUAUGAUAGGUAUAACUAUCGCACAAUGGACGACAAGCUUAUUUUGUAUAAAAACGGGCAGCAUCUCCCCUAUAAUCCUUACUUCCUCCAAAUUCAAGAUAACUCCAACAACACAAUAAAAACAUAUAUACAUUAUUUUCCAACCUUAUAUUACACCAUCAAAUACUACAAAACAGCCCAAUACACUCCAACCUUUUCAUACACAAAACGACCACCGUACUAGUGUCAAACGACCCGGAAAUGUUACGACAAACGACAAGCCCAUCACCCUACAUCUAUAUGGUGUUUCUCCACAACCUUCCUCCUCCAAAACUCCACAAAAUAGUAGUAAAACACGCAGCCCAACAGCAACACAAAAUAAUCCACAAAACAAUCCGCUACAAGUGAAUAACUCGAACUCAUGGCUUCCAAUCACCAUCCCGUGAGUUCUUACAAGUAUAGAACGACAUACCAUGAACUUACAACAGAAAAAAUGGAUGAAAGAGAGCAGUAAACUUACCAUAUUUAUUGGAUAACUCAGCCCUUAUCUUGGUUCUUCAAACUCUAGGUUUUACUCCCAAUUAGAACUUGAAAGGAAGAGAAAAUCAAUUAGGGUUUGUAGGUAAUUUUUGGGAAGAAGUUUGCAGGGGUUGAGGUCUGGUUAUUUAUGAUAUAUAAUGAAGUUUAUAUUUCAGGAGAUAAGCCCUUAAAUGGGUUAUUUGGCUGACCCGAAAUUGCCUCUUUUUGGAUUCUCAUUUAACCAAGUAGGUGACACACCUACUUGUCACCUAGCAUCCUGCGCAGUCUCGCAAAAUUGCAUAUAUCUCUCUACUCCGAUAUUGUAUUUAUAAACAAUUUAAUACGUGAGAAAAUAGACUCAUAGAGAUUCAAUUUAAUGGGUGGAACACCCUAUAACUCUAAGUAUAUUGGGAUAAAAUCGCAGUUAUAUUUGACCUAAGUUUCAACACAUUUAUCAAUGUAACUUGUGAUGACCUUUUUCAACUUUUGUUCCACAACUCGCUUGACUUCAAAUCAUAACACACGUUUAUCAUACGACUAAAAUAACUCAUAAAAUAAUCUCCUUAUAAUUUUAAAUACUGUAUUCUCGCCGCAAAAGUACAUGUUACAAUAUUCCCAACUUGUCGACUUUCGACGAAACCUAUUUUCUUCAAUUCAUUUAGGUUCUAAGCCUUCAAACCCUCUUGGUACUUGGUAUUCAUGAUCUUAAAUAUUUUUAACCUCCAUUGUAACAUGAUUAACUUACUUUAUGUACUUUCAAAGUUGAUUUCAUUUCUGAGCUUGCAUCAAUUGACUUACGAAUACCCUCAUGUACGAAAACAUGGGGUGUAACAUUGACCAUGGUCAAUAUCGGGUCAAGACGACCUCUUUUCAGUAUUUUGAGUGUGCAAUAAGGCCCAUAGCGUGUUUUAUGAUUGAAAUGCAUAUAUGGUUUGUGUUCGGGAGGUUCCAGAUGAAUUUCGGGGUGGUUUAGGAUCAUUUCGGUGAAGUUUGGAAUUGCUGGUUCUGGUACUAAACAAUUGCAAACUUUUUGUUGCAAUUGCGAACUACCUCAUUUGCGAACUUCUGGUCGCAAUUGCGAGCCCACAGUUUUGAACCUGUGGUCGCAUUGCAGAUUUUUUGUCGUAAAUGCAAUAUCUGCAACUAGGUUAAGAUUUGGAAUUUCGGGAUUUUAGCUCAUUCUUUCAUAUUUUGAACCCUAGACUUAGUAAGAGGUGAUUUUUUCAAAUUUUCAAAUUUCAAACUUACACUGAACACCUCUAAACAACUCGAAACCAGCUCAAAUAUUGCACACAAGUUUCAAAUGACACAACGAACAUAUUCCAACUUCCGGAAUAACAAUCCGAGCCCAAUAACUCCGAAGUCAACUCCUGGUCAAACCUUUGAACUUUCUUGACCUUCAAAUUGCCAACUUUCGCGAAAUAGUGCCAAAACCUUCUAGAAAUAUCUAAAUACAAAUCCGGGCGUCCAAAAUCACCAUCCAUCCGGACCUAAUGAAAUCAUAAAAACUCCGAUCCAAUGUUAAUUUCACAAAAGUCAAACUCGAUUAACCCUUUCAACUUAAAGCUUCAAAAUUGAGAAUCAUUCUUCCAAAUCAAUCCCGAAUCACUCGAAAACUAAAAUCGAUGAUACACAUAAGUCAAUAUACACCACAUGAAGCUACUCAUGACCUCAAACCAUUGAACGGAAUACAAAUGUUCAACACAACCGGCUGGAUCAUUACAGACUAGUCAUGUUUGCACGGCAUCUCCUUCAUCUGAUUGUCAAAAGUUUGAACAUUUCAUUGGCCGGAAUCAGUUAGUUAAAACAAUUUGUCUGCAAAAUCGUGUAAUGCUCAAUAGGCUACCAUCCGAAUCUAGCAAGUAUCACAAAUGCAAAAUUUUGGUGGUCUUAUGAUCACUGCCUUGCCUUCUCAUUUGACAUUUUCUAUACUUUAUUAGUAAUUACGGGUACUAUGUGAAAGCAGAAUACAAAAGAUAUGUAAGAGAAAAAUCAUAAAUAAUUUCAUUCACUACUUAUUUGGCAGUAGACCAGUACAGUGCAUGACGAAUUUUCCUCUGUAUAAGUGUUUAAUUCCCUAUGAAUAUAGAGAAACAAAAUAACGUAGUCAUUUUGAAAUUAGGAGGAUGCAAGGAGCUGCCUGACAUUCAUAGGCGAAAUAUCAGGAGAGUUUCCGUCCAGCAGGCGUUUUGCUAUGAUGACAUUAGCUGCAUCAGUUGGAUGGUAUGGAUCCCAGAACACAAACUUGCUUCUAUUUGCACAUAUUUUAGAUGAAGGACCACAUGGAAUUAUUCCCCCAAAUCUUCCACCACCAGAACAGCAAGCUGAAUCUGCAUUCUCAAAUCCUACAUAUAACAAUAUCCACCAUCAAAUUAUAUUACCUGAAUCUUGAAAAUUAUGACCUAAUAUCUUGAUAUCUCCGGAGAAAUGGGGCUAGAGUUUGGGUAAAACUAUUCUGUUGUCUAAUUAAAUCACUUCAGCCUAGUUGGGGUCACGUGCUGCACCAAACUAAUAAAUGAGCUAGUGUUCAAGUCAUGCCCUAUGCUAGAACAUUACUUCAGUUUUAAGUGCAUUCACUUGGUGCAAGCCGGGGAUACAGCCUCUUGCACAAAUGCAGGGUUAGGCUACGUACAAUAAACCCUUUUGGUUCUUUCCUUCCCCGGACCCCGCGUAUAGCGGGAGCUUAGUGCAUCGGGACUUGGUGCGAGUAGGUGUUUUACCUAGGGCAGGCCUGAUUUCACGAUCCACAUAUUAUUGAAGACACGAUAAAACAUAGGGGUUUCUAAUUAAUCUUUGAUAGUAGAACUCACCAUAAGAUGUGUAAUUCUGAAUGAUGUCUUGGACGAUUCCGUAGGCAUCUGCAUAGACAAACUUUGAUCCAGUAAGUUUGGAACUUAGUUCACUCACAAGCCCUCUCAAUUGGGUGUUGUAUAAUUGCGCAAGCACAUUUGGGAAAUUUACGCAGUUAUCUCCAGCUGAUAGAUUUAUUUCCCUUUGGUAGGGGAUACACCCAAUAGGCCCAACAUUCACCACUAUUACUUUCCUGGCACCCAAAUUAUAAAGUCUCUGCAUAUGGUUUUGAACAAGAAUCAUCAUGUCAGCAUUCUACUUUGUGUUAUAGCACUUGUAGUAGUCAACAUUAAUAAAUUCACAAUUUACCGUUAGUUGAAUUCUGUAUUUGGAUAUCACUGCUCCCACAAAUUUCAUAGGAGGUACAGUUAGUUGCUCAGCUGUGGAGAGAACAGGCGUGAGAUAAUUGUUAAUGAGGUCAUUUGAUCCCAUAGUUACUGAGAAGAGUGAAUUCUCAAUCAACUUUAUCGCCGCUGGCUCUCCUAUUCUUGUGAUUAUGUCCUGUCUAGUAUUUGCAAAAUUGUCUAAUUGAGCAUCCAUGUUGAUCCUUCCACCCUACCAAUAUUUAGAAAAAAAAAACCCCAUUUUAAUCAAUAUCCAAUAAAACACACAAAAAUAAAAACAAAUCUUGGAGCACUCCCAUCUGAUUACAUAAUCCUCCUUUUGACUUGACAUACUCGUGCAUAACAGACCUAACAUGAUUAUAUGACUACUCAAUGCAGAUUCUUCACAAAACAAUUUUUUUACAUAUUCUUGUAUUGCGAGAUAAGUUAUACCAAGAUUUUGAUAUAAAAUAAUACCUCCAAUCAAAUACAAAUAAAUUUAAUCCCUUAUACGGAAAUAACCCACAUAAUCCCUUGAAUCAAACGGCCAUUCAAUUAAACAAUACAUGCCUAACAUUUCAAAACGCACGUUUUGCAAGUGUUAGAUACAGAGGUAUACAAAAGCAUUGAGAAUAAUAAGGAAAAAUUCGAAGCUAAACAACCAAUAGAAAAUCGGGGAAAAUUAAGGACUUACAAAAAUUUGGCCAGAUUCAUUAAGAAUGCCUCCUCCUCCAGAAGCAUAAUUGACACCUUGCAGAAUCACUGGUCCACAUGUUGUUGGUGCUAAGUAUGGAGGAGUCAAAUUAAACCCCACUUCCUCACCUGCAAAUCCAUUCAAAUAAAAUCAUCCAAAAUAAGAAGAAGAAAAUACUACUACUAAAUAAAGGGAGAGAUUUUGAGCAAGAUUAAACUUGCCUAAAAUGUCCACUAUAGUUCUUCCAUUUGUAUAUCUUCCCGUUGGGGCACCAAAAUCAAUACCAUUUGGGAAGAAAUUUGCUUUUGAAAGAGAAGUAAUAUAGUUAUUGUUACCCACAUCAACCAAUGAAUCUCCAAAGACAAAAUUAGCAGGGACAUUUUCUGCCAAACAGAUGGUCAAGUUCUGAAGCAAAACUCCCAAAAUGGCCAACCUAUAAUAUGAUGGAUUUCCCAUUUCAAGAAUGUGGAGGCUUCUUUCAGUAGGAGAAAGCAAGUUCUGUUUAAUGGACCAACAAGGCAAAUCAAAGACACACACACACCCACCAAUAGAAAGAGGAAAAAUUGCAGAGAAUUAAAAGCAAAUAAGCUUUUAGCUCACAAUUUCAGUGGACAUGACUAUAGUCACUAUAUUACUUAUGAACUUAGGAUGGGCCAGCAAACAAUUAAAAGAAGAGCAGCUUAUAGCUCAUAUAUUAAAACUAAACCUAUGAAAUUAGGAUGGGCUAGAAAUAAAGAAUUAAAUUAAGGGAAGCUUCAAGAGACAUUUGGUCAUAGUUGGGGACGAAUUAACUGAAAAGGGACAUUCUCCUCACAGCUAGGCUUAACUCAACAAUAUGAUAAAAGUAUAGAAAACGGAGCUUGAAAUAGAUAUAACAAGCAGUGUGAAAGUUGGUGGAGAAGAACUCAUUAAAUGCCUAGCAGAAUUAGCACUACCAAUCAGAGAAAUUUCUGAUAUGUUGGAGCCAAUCUUGAGCCAGAAUGCAAUCCCCAAAAGAGAAACAGAACCAAUAAAUAUUACUUCUACUAGUGGAUUUCUGUCCAAGUUCGGAAAUUCAUAAUUUUUGUUGGUGGUAAGAAAAUAAAUUAUGCAACUGCCAACCUUCAGAUUCUGAACCAAUUGGAUGGCACACUACGUGCAAUUGAAUGCAGUCACUUAAUUUUACAGUAUGGAUAGUAAUACUUUUGACUUACAAAUUCCACCAAGUUGACACCAACUCAUGUUUUUUAUUCGUACAAUUAUUAUUAACAGCAGAAUCUUGAAAAUCUUAAGAGAAAAAUGUCUUCAUUUUGUACAACUGCAUUAAGUCAAGUGGAUCGAUACCGUUUAAGCAACUUGGUAUGAAUCUCUGAGGCAUAUGCUUAAUGUUCAUUUUAAAUAGAGCUUCACAUUAUCACUUUCGCAAAAUGGUGAAAGUAUCUAUUUGAUCAUCAUUAUACUUUUUGUUCACAUUUAUCUAACCCUAAAUUUAAGAGUUAAUAGUUAAGACCCAAAAACUCCUUAAACUAUUAUGUUUUUAUCAGUUUUCUAUUUAAAUUAUUCGGUGACUCCAAAACCCCCUAAACUAUAUUACCCUUCAUAUUUUAACCCCAUAAUUACUUACAUGACAUAACAUGUAUAGUAACUCGCUUGGAAGCGUGUGUCAGCUGAAAAAAACCUUCAAAAUGGUCCACCUACAGAAUAUAAUGGAGAAAAUUUUACAUAAGAACAUCUGAGCUCCCUAUUUUUCAAUUUUAUAGCCCAUAUUUCAAUUUACAACCAACUAGCCCAAAAAUAAUAGGCUAAGAUUCAACAUUCAACUCCAAUAGGUACUAAAAAUUACUAUUUAAUUUUUAAAAAAGAUUGCUCAAGCUUUUAAGUUAAUUUUCGAAUCAGUAACUGUGACUCAAAUAUUAGUUCAACAAACCAAAUCCAUUUGGAUGGUGAAAAUUAAUUUUUUAACAAGCUUAAACAUGUGGGUUUAAAUUUCGAAUUUGAUUUUGUGAGAAAUUUGGAGUGGGUGUUAUCUAGACUUAUUAGAAAUAGUAUAAGGAGGUUGUAUAUAAAAUUUGAAGUCAUUUAAUGGACAUUUGGAUUGAUUUUGAACAAGAAUUGCAACUGAAAAUCGUGGAAGAAGUUCGUCUACAGACCCUUGUAUAAAGGUGUAUAAGAUGUGUUUAUACACUCAUAUACACUAUUAUACAAGAUUAUACAUAAUUAUACAAAAAACUGAUUUCAUCUUGUUCCUUGCGUCUUUUCUAAAAUUCAACUCAAAUCUUGCUCAAAUCUACUCCAAAUCACUUCAAAUUUAAAUUUUGAACUCCUUUUGAUAUUUUCAAUCAAUUGGAACAACGCUGAAUCCAAACAACUAACAAACUCAAAAAAUCCUAUUUUCAAAAGCAAAGCUUUAAAUGGCCUUCAAUGGUGGACUUCUGUCACGACCCAAACCGAAGGGCCGCGACGGGCACCCGGUGCCUUAUUAAACCGAGUACCAACUUAACNNNNNNNNNNNNNNNNNNNNNNNNNACAUAUGACAACCCAAUAUGAUGUAGAAACUCAUACAUGUGACAUACGGGCCUAUAAGGCCGACAUGACCAUUUGUAAACUCAACACAUAGGCCAAUAAGGCCAUACAAGUAUCCAUAAACCUGACUUCUGUCUACAAGCCUCUAAGAGUACAUAAAAUCAUAAAGGUCAAGGGAUGACCUCGCCAUAUCAAUCAAUACAUAUCCAAAUCAUACUGACCAAAUAGGCAACUCCGGAGCAAGUGGAGUGCACAAACACCUCCGCUGAGCUGAUAGCCUACUAGGAGGAAUGUCAACCUAUCAAUUGGGACCUGCAGGCAUGAAACGCAACGUCCCCAGGCAAAAGGUACGUCAGUACAAAUAAAGUACCGAGUAUGUAAGGCAGGAAAACAUAAACAAGAACAAUAAUAUAAAGAGAGAUAGAAGAGAUACGACCUGUAACAUCUGCGUGCCUCUAGGGCUACUGACAUGAAAUGCAUAACACAUAUAUAUACAUAAACUUUUAAAAACAUACGCCUCUGUAGGCAUCAUCAUCAUCAUAUCGUACCCGGCCUCGAAGAGGACUCGGUAAAAACGUACCUGACCAUCAUAAGGCUCGGUAGAAUCGUACCUGGCCACGUGGAGCUCGGUAAAUCCAACUGAUCAGUGGUUGCACAAUAGGUGUCGUACCCGUCCUACUAUAGCGCGUCCCGGUAGAGUAAAAUAGAUACUAUAUAUUAUGCAUGCUAGACUCAUUGAAUCACGUUCCAAACCUUUUGAAGUGACUUAAGGUCGUUGCACCUUCGAUUAACAUUAUGGACAUCAUACCAUCAAUAUGAGCUUCUAUAGGAUUCAAGGAUCAUACAUACUUUCUUAAAAUAACUUUAUAAGGAAAGAACAACAUGGGCAACCUUAGUUUCUAGGAGUAGAUCCGUUAUGAAAUAGCAUAUUCAUUUCACUUUAGAUCAUGCCAAAAGAAAGAGGGAAGUGCCUUAACAUACCUUAACCAUGGCGAGUACUUAAUACCUCCCAAGCUACUCUUCAAACAACUCAACUCAAUCUACCAUUGCAUACGGAGAUUCAAAAUCUAUGUUGAAUAAAGGCUAAGUCUGCAACUUAAACUUGUAGGUCGUUUAUAUAAAUUCGGCCACCAUCUCCCCUACAACAAGAGCCUCCUCCAAUAUCAUAUCCCAACAACAAUUAUCAGAUAAAUCCAGCAAUACAUAAUUAUUAAUAAUAAGAUACCAUAAAAAAACAACAAGUCAUAACUAUUUUACGACGAGCGACAAGCUCCAAUUGGAAAUCGUAUACCCUAUAUCAUCCCUUAUAGACUUUUUACUUUAACUUAAUAGUAUCAUUAACAUGAUAAUGAAGUCAUUCAUCAAUAAUUCCAGCCUUAUACCAUAUAUCUAUAACAAAAAAAAUGAUCCACAACUCCAAUUAUUCUUAAUUAGCUACUUUAUACACUAGUUCAUCCAUUUAACUUAACCAAUGCCAAGAUAACCUUAAGCGCAUGUAAGAACACAAUAUAAUACCUCCUACAAUGGAUUCAAGUCAAAAUCCAUAUUAUAUUUAGAUUACAACAGCCCAACACACCCCAAUCAAUUCAUACCAAAAACGACGACUAUAAUAGUGUCCAACACCCCGAAAAUAUUACAAAGAAUGACUAAUCCAUCAUUUCGCCAUUAAGUGGUGUUUCUCCACACCAUUUAUCCCCCGAAAACUUCAUUAAAUAUCAGAAAAAUAUACAGCCCAAAAGCUACACGAAACAUCCCACAAAACAGUCCAUUACAAAUCAAAUAACUCGAACUCACGGCUUUCGAUCACCAUCCCGUGAGUUCUAACUAUUAUGAAAUGAAUUAAUCAACCUUACUUGAUAUUUAAGAGCUUAAAACCAGAAAUUAAGAAUUUUAUUAACUAUUAAAUACCUUUCAAAACUCAAACUACAAAGAAAAGAGAUGCAAUAUAGCAAUACUUACGCAGUGGGGAUCGUUCUAGUGUUGUUGCUUCUUGAUUUCGUGCCCGGGAUGAUGGUAUUGUUUGAAACCCUUGUAGAGAGCUUAAGGGUGAUGUUAUGGGUCUUAUUUGUUUGUACUCUCUGGAAAUAUGCAGAAAGAGACGAGAUAAAGGAGAUAAUCUCCAUUUUGUUGAAAAGUCAAAAGGUACUAUUUGGCACCCUAUAAUUGGCUCGUCUUCCAACACUUAUAACUUUUAUCCGGGUGUCGUAUGAGUAAACGGUUAAGAGCAUUGGAAACUACAUUCCAAGGCCUUCAAUUUAGUAUAUAAUAUGUACCAAAAAGACCUCAUAUAGCACACGAAAUGUAUUACUCAAAAAGCUUCAUUACAAGGCAAAUCAUAAAGUCGGUUUUUUCGCAACUUAAAUUCGAUUUUUCUUAAACUUUAUACUUCAUAUACAAACAUCAUAUAUAGUCAUAUCAUGCCUUUAAACACAUUUAAAUCAUGAUUAACAAGUCUCAUAUUCAUCUUAACUUGCUUAACACUUCGACAAACCUUUCUUAUCCUUGUAGAAGGAUUUCAUCCUUUUGAGCUUACAUCAAUUGACUCACGACGUACUUUCAGGUACAAAAACAUGGGUAGUAACAUUAUUCCCCCCUUUGAAAUAUUCGUCCUCGAAUGUUGUCUGAUCCGCUUCUCAUUCUCAUACCAUAUGACUCUUAAGAAUAAUUUAAUAUUGUCCUUUGUCAUCUAGGUAAUUGUUCUCUGAAUAAAUUUGAAAACUAGGGCAUUCCCCCCUUUAGGCCUAUUCUCACCUCACGAAUUAUGGCCGGAGUUCUUCCAAUCUCUUAACUUCGACUACCUUCUAUGAUUUAUCCUAUAUGACUGUCCAGCUUUUUGCCAAUCUCCUGGCUUUACUUUGUGAAUACAUAUAUAGAACUAUGACAUGAUGUCCCUCUGGGCAUAUAUAGGUAUAUUUAAGCUCUUUGCUUGGUACUUUUUUGAAUGUACGACUACUGCUAUAUUUUGUUUUAUAGCCUUGAUAUUAUUACUGAGGUGUGCUACACAACUCUAGGUUACUUCCUCAUUGCUUGUCCCAUAACCUGUCGGCGCAACCCUGCCAUAUUAGGAACAUAUAAUCGACCUUGAUAUCUGAGUACUCCAUCUCACCCUACCACAUUAGGAACAUAUAAUCGACCUCGAUAUCUAAGGACUCCAUCUUAUGCAAUCUCAAAUAGUGUCUUCUCCUUUUGAAGGGUUGUAUCUCUUUAAUGAUCUAGCACAUGAUAUUCAUACUGACAUUCCUUCACUUCAGUUACUAAAGAGGAGGUUUCCAUGUCCUAAGUAGUAACUCUGGUACCACCUGUAUCUAGUAAUCGAAUUCCAAGAUUAGCUAGCCGAUGAAUCUCACAAGCUAUCUCACUUUUCUAUGUCUGUAAAUAUGAUAGGCCAAACAUAGAUCUACGAUUGAGGGCGUUGACUACUACAUUCGCGUUCCCUGGAUGAUAUAAGAUAUAAACAUCAUAGUCUUUCACUAACUCCAACCAUCGCCUCGAAUGUAAUAUAUUAUCACUAAGGCUCGCGUCUCAUCGGGGAACAUCUGAAGUGAUUUUCUUAAUGCACCUAGGGACGAUACUAUACUUCAAUAACUGCAUUUUCAUAACAUCCCAACUAUUCAUCUUAUGGGGAACAUUCUAAUACCGUGCCAUCCAUGAAAUCCCUUUUCUUUAAAUCAUUACUCAAUCGAAGGCCCAAACGUCAUUCUCUUAACUAUCACAAUUACACCCUUGUUCUACUACCAGGGCAGUAUUCCAUCUCUUCUAAUUGCUCUUAUUCUUAGACUCCUCUGAGUUCAUUCAGAGUGUACCGAGCUUUCUAUAGCUCAUGGAAAGCAUUAACUAUCUUGUUUUGACAGGUUUAAUCCUGAGACCUUGCCUAUUAUUGUCACUUUCUCACUCAUAUUUACCAUACUUACCUUUAAAUCUCGCACCGUAUCUUCUAUCGAUUUCAUAACCUUCCUUCUACAUUGUUGGAAUUCACAUCCAUACCUUAAAUCUCACUAUAAUACUUGCAACCCUGAUGCAUACACAAUCUGGUUGGAGCUUCAUAUUAACGUCUUAUGAGACUGAUACUCUUCUAAUUGCUUUAUCGUAGAGCUUUUAUAGAAUAUCAUUGUUGUACUAACUCUCUUAUACCUCUGCUAUUAAAAGUGCUCCUUCUAUGGUUUGAGUCACGAUUUCUAUAAUCAUCUAGGUCGAACAAUCGGACUCGUGAUGUAACUUUCGAGUUUCCUCUUCCUUAUCAGCCUUUAAUUAAGCUUAGGCUAUCUUCCAAUUUUUAGCUUAGUGUAUUAGCUAUUAUAUUAGCCUUUCAUGGACUCUAUGUAGCAUCCAUGAUAUAAUCUUCUAACAAUUCAAGUCUUUGCCGGUGACGUGGACUUAAUUCUUUCUUUUACUUAUACUAGAGUCUCCUAUAGUUGUAUAAAUGUCAUGGAUAUAAAUCUGAAAUCUUAAGUGCGUUCACAACUUAACCAACUUUGGUUCAUUGAUUGAAUAAUUCAUUUCGUGCCUUCUCAACUUUAUUUAAAUGUAAGCAAUCACUUUUCAUGGCUGUUACGUCACUUGUUACAUGAAUAAUUGGCCUAUCUUAUUGCCCACGAAUACUUGAAUUUGCUGUAACUCAUAUAAUCUCAAAUAGCACUUUUGACUUCCCGUUCAUUAUUCACGAUAGGUGACACUUUCGUAUUGAGUGCAUACAAUGUUGUAGUGGGACUGUUGUUACUUGACCAUAUCUUCUUUAUGUCAUUAUGCUUAAGUUGAAGCCUUCUUCCUUAUUUCCUCAGCUAGUAUUUCUUUGUAGUACUUAAGAAGACCUUCUAGAUCUUGUAAAGUUACGAUCUUGUUAUACUGUAUACCCGAAGGAAUUUUCGAUGUUCUUACUCACCUACAAACACCCUUAGUUACAUACCUUCGUGCCCUUGUGCUCGUAGGGUUACUUCUAAACUCAGAUUUUGAUUGUCUCCUUAGUGGCACUCUCCAUUAUUUCCGUAACACUUAUACGGUACCUUUAGUAACCCAACUCCUAUCUGAAUAUUUCUCAAGGUUACGACAUCAUAUCUGCGAGACUGAAUUUACUAGAUUAGGAUUCACUACAUUUAUCUUGCAUGAUCUAUUGAUUUGCUUAUACCCUCUUGUCUAGCCAUAACUAGGCUCUUCCUGAAUCAACUACAAACUACUCGUUGAUCCAAUCUCAUAUCUAUAUUCCGCAUAAUCUCUCUUUGGUUAAUUACUUUGUCUUAAGUCACCUCUCGUACUGGCUCCUUAUGCAUCAAGUGUUCAUUUGCUUAUCAACAUCAUCGUGCAACCCUUACUGCUUCUCUCCGGCAUCAUGUUUGCAUAUUGUUCUGGAGUCAUAUUAUAUCUAUAGGAUUUGAAUAGAUUCUAUCUCAUCCCUUUCACCCUUUUACCUCAUUCCUCAUUUACUAUUCCAUAGUUACCUCUUCAUCUUGCCAUUUUUUCACAUCUUUACUAACAUCUUACUCACCUUGCGGUAACCCCUAUAUACCGGGGAUAAUCGAAUUUAUUAUGCACAAGGGUGACACUUAGUGUAACUGGAACACUUAGAGGUCGUUUGGUAGAGUGCAUAACACAAAAUAAUGCUUGCAUUAGUUUUGUGUAUUAGUAAUACCUUGUUUGGUACACUUUUUCAUCCUAUGUAUAACUAAUACAAGCAUUAAUUAUACAUCCUAUUUAGUAUUAUCCUGUGUAUAGCUAAUGCAUAGCAAAACCAUGGUAUUAGUAAUACCAAGGCUAUCAAUGCAUGCAUUAGUAUGUCUAAAGACCAAAUUGUCCUUAAAGUCUCUUAAAACUAAAGAAUAUAGAGGGCAUUUUUGUAAACAACUAAUUUUUUUUUUAAAAUUAUGCAAUGCAUUUUAGUUUUUAAUACAUCACACCAAACAAUGUAUAAAAAAUAAUCUCUGUAUAACUAAUGCUUGCAUUACUAACAUAUGCAUUACUAAUCCCUGUAUUACUAAUACACCAUAUUCAGCAUUAUUCUUAUACACUCUACCAAACGACCCCUUUGUCCCUUAAGCUUAACUCUGCUCCACGUGCUUGCUUUAGGGAAGCAUCUUCCUAAAUGAAUCUUAAAGGUUAUUCUUUUGUUGUCCAUUCUAUAGUUGUCAGAAUGUUAUCUCUGAAAUUCCCAUGAUACCAGCUAUUAUAAAAUCCUUCAGUCCCUAAUUCACAUUCAGUUUAUCUUGUUCACCAGUGCAUACUGAUUUCUACUACUCUGGGGUCUAACCUUUCCUCCUGGUAAUCACGUUGAAGUCACCAACUUAUUUCUCGAAAUAAAGAUAUGACUUUAUGGCUUAUACUCUUUUAUUGCCUCAAGGCCUGUCACCUCUUGUAUUUGCCUUCACUUGACUAUGGACUCUGUCAUCGUGUCAUAUGUUGAUUUACCGUUAUCAUCCAUUUAUCACAUCUUACUCAUGAUGCUUCAUUUACUCUCUUCUUAUUCUCCGGAUAAUAUCUUUAUCUAUCUCUUUAUUCUGAAAACUCUCACAAAAUAUUCUUUCCCUUAGCUCCCCUUUCUUCAUCUCACUGGCUCAUCAGAAUGUCUAACAUUCUCUUUUUUUUCUUACUCGGGGCUGGAGUCAUACUAAGGUAAAUAUUUGUCUUAUCUUCUAAAUUUUUUGAAUAAUCUAGUAUUCAUAUCUGAUUGUACUAUUCUAAAGUUCACCAUCUAGGUGUCUCACAAGGAGAUAUAUUACCACAUUUGCACUAUCCUUCGGAUACAUUAGUUAAUGAUAACAAUCCAUCCAUAAUUUUGGAUUACUCUAACCCGAAUUGAAUCUUGAUAUCACUUUAUUCUUUUAAACUAUAUUUGUUAGCUCCCAUAGGGCACAACUGAGAUGUGUGUGGUCAAUUGUAUAUAUCACCAUUAAUAUUGAAGGUAACACCAAUACUUACAUUUCUCUGCCUGAAUUGUAAAUACUGAUAAUCUUCAUUAACUAGGUACCUCGUACCCUUCGUCAUCUUGCUUGUUUUACUUGCUGAAACUUGUAUCUACUUUUCGAUUCACUUAUUCCUUUUUACCAUACGAGUAGAUAGAUAUUCUUGUCUUAGGGUUCCUUAUCAAGAAGCUUACACAUCUUAGUACACAUAUGAUCUGCUGAAAACCUCAUAUUUAGUCAUCAUAAGCAUGAUGCAAAAUCGAGUUCCUCUUACACAACUCUUUCGCAUCAAAAUUCAAUCUCUUACCGAUUAUCUUUCUGGAUGUAGGUAUCACUGUAUUAUGAAUUAAAAAAAAUUUAGAAGUUUGAAUUCUUACAACUGAGCUCUAUCACAUGAUCUAGAACAAGAAGAAAGAGUGACAAUCCUAAAUGCCAUGUAGNNNNNNNNNNNNNNNNNNNNNNNNNNNNNNNNNNNNNNNNNNNNNNNNNNNNNNNNNNNNNNNNNNNNNNNNNNNNNNNNNNNNNNNNNNNNNNNNNNNNNNNNNNNNNNNNNNNNNNNNNNNNNNNNNNNNNNNNNNNNNNNNNNNNNNNNNNNNNNNNNNNNNNNNNNNNNNNNNNNNNNNNNNNNNNNNNNNNNNNNNNNNNNNNNNNNNNNNNNNNNNNNACUCCCUAGGACAGAACUGCUCUGAUUCCACUUCUGUCACGACCCAAACCGAAGGGCCGCGACGGGCACCCAGUGCCUUAUUCAACUGAGUACCAACAUAACAUAUCUUUCUUAUUAUACUAUCUUGAGUAAAUGAGCCAGAAACCCGUCAUGAGAUAAUAAAAAUAAAACAUAAAGGAAUACUAGACAUAGGACAACCCAAUAUGAUGUAGAAACUCAUACAUGUGAAAUACGGGCCUAUAAGGCCGACAUGACCAUUUGUAAACUCAACACAUAGGCCAAUAAGGACAUACAAGUAUCCAUAAACCUGAUCUCUGUCUACAAGCCUCUAAGAGUACAUAAAAUCAUAAAGGUCAGGACAGGGCCCCGCCAUAUCAAUCAAUACAUAUCCAAAGCAUACUGACCAAAUAGGCAACUCCGGAGCAAGUGGAGUGCACAAACACCUCCGCUGAGCUGAUAACCUACUAGGAGGAAUGUCAACCUACCAAUUGGGACCUGGAUGCAUGAAACGCAGCGUCCCCAGGAAAAAGGGAUGUCGGUACAAUAAAGUACCGAGUAUGUAAGGCAAGAAAGCAUAAACAAGAACAAUAAUAUAAAGAGAGAUAGAAAAGAUACGACCUGUAACAUCUGCGUGCCUCUGGGGGAUACUGACAUGAAAUGCAUAACACAUAUAUAUACAUAAACUUCUAAAAACAUACGCCUCUGUAGGCAUCAUCAUCAUCAUCAUAUCGUACCCGACCUCAAAGAGGACUCGGUGAAAACGUACUCGGCCAUCACAAGGCUCGGUAGAAUAGUACCCGGUCACGUGGAACUCGGUAAAUCCAACUGAUCAGUGGUUGCACAAUAGGUGUCAUACCCAUCCUACUAUAGCACGGCUCGAUAGAGUAAAAUAGAUACUAUAUAUAAUGCAUGCUAGAGUCAUUGAGUCACGUUCUAAACCUUUUGGAGUGACUUAAGGUCGUUGCACCUUCGAUUAACAUUAUGGAAAUCAUACCAUCAAUAUGAGCUUCUAUAGGAUUCAAGGAUCAUACAUACUUUAUUAAAAUAACUUUAUAAGGAAAGAACAACAUGGACAACCUUAGUUUCUAGGAGUACAUCCGUUAUGAAAUAGCGUAUUCAUUUCACUUUAGAUCAUGCGAAAAGAAAGAGGAAAGUGCCUUAACAUACCUUAACCAUGGUGAGUACUUAAUACCUCCCAAACUACUCUUCAAACAACUCAACUCAAUCUACCAUUGCAUAAGGAGAUUCAAAAUCUGUGUUGAAUAAAGGCUAAGUCUGCAACUUAAACUUGUCGCUCGUUUAUAUAAAUUCGGGCAGCAUUUCCCCUGCAACAAGAGCCUCUAAUAUCAUAUCCCAACAACAAUUUCCAAAUAAAUCCAACAAUACAUAAUUAUCAAUAACAAGACACCAUGAAAUAACAACAAGUCAUAACUAUUUUACGAUGAGCGACAAGCUCCAAUUGGAAUUCGUAUACCCUAUAUCAUCCCUUAUAGACUUUUUAAUUUAACUUAAUAGUAUCGUUAACAUUAUAAUGAAGUCAUUCAUCAAUAAUUCUAGCCUUAUACCAUAUAUCCAUAACAAAGAAAGUGAUCCACAACUCCAAUUAUUCGUAAUUAGCAACUUUAUACACUAGUUCAUGUCUAGUUCAUCCAUUUAACUUAACCAAUGCCAAGAUAACCUUAAGCGCCUGUAGGAACACAAUAUAAUUACCUCCUACGGUGGAUGCAAGUCUAAAUACAUGUUAUAUUUAGAUUACAACAGCCCAACACACCCCAAUCAAUUUAUACCAAAAACGACGACUAUAGUAGUGUCCAACACCCCGAAAAUACAAAGAAUGACUAAUCCAUCAUUUCGCCAUUAAGUAGUGUUUCUCCACACCAUUUAUCCUCCAAAAACUUCAUUAAAUGUCAGCAAAAUAUACAGCCCAAAAGCUACACGAAACAGCCCACAAAAUAGUCCAUUACAAAUCAAAUAACUCGAACUCACGGCUUCCGAUCACCGUCCAGUGAGUUCUAACUAUUAUGAAAUGAAUUAAUCAACCUUAAUUGAUAUUUAAGAGCUUAAAACCAGAAAUUAAGAAUUUUAUAAACUAUUAAAUACCUUUCAAAACUCAAACUACAAAGAAAAAGAGAGACAAUAUAGCAAUACUUACACCGUGAGGAUCGUUCUAGUGUUGUUGCUUCUUGAUUUCGUGCCCGGGAUGAUGGUAUCGUUUGAAGCCCUUGUAGAGAGCUUAAGGGUGAUGUUAGGGGUCUUAUUUGGUCGUGCUCUCUGGAAAUAUGCAGAAAGAGACGAGAUAAAGAAGAUAAUCUCCAUUUGUUGAAAAGUCAAAAGGUACUACUUGGCACCCUAUAAUUGGCUCGUCUUCCAACGUUUAUACUUUUUAUCCAGGUGUCGUAUGAGUAAACGGUUAAGAGCGUUGGAAACUAAAUUCCAACACCUUCAAUUUGGUAUAUAAUAUGUACCAAAAAGACCUCAUAUAGCACACAAAAUAUAUUACUCAAAAAGCUUCAUUACAAUACAAAUCCUUAGUCGGUUUUUCCGCAACUUAAAUUCGAUUUUUCUAAAACUUUAUACUUCAUAUACAAACAUCAUAUAUAGUCAUAUCAUGUCUUUAAACUCAUUUAAAUCAUGAUUAACAGGUCUCAUAUUCAUCUUAACUUGCUUAACACUUCGGCAAACCUUUCCUAUCCUUGUAAAAGGAUUUCAUCCUUUUUGAGCUUACAUCAAUUGACUCACGACGUAAUUUUAGGUACAAAAACAUGGGUUGUAACAAUUCUACUCUUCAUUUUUCUUACAUUGCAACUAGGUGAUACAGUGUAAGAAACACCAAUGGCGGACAACCCUUUGAAGCAUAUGUAGAAGAUGUGAGAAGAAGAGUGAGUGAAAACAAUGGUUGUGAGAACACAUAUUUAACUUCAUAGCUUUAAAAGCAAUGGUUGUAAGAACACAAGUUUUAAAUUUGCUAGUGCUUUCAAAAUAUGUGCAAUAUAGGCUAGGUUGGGUAAAACUUAAAAACAUGAGUCAUUUUUUGUUAUGGUGUGAAGUCAUGUGUAUUUUCUUGUAAUUCUUUCAAUAUAAUGGCUAAUUAGCCUAACCCUCUUUCAAAUUUAUUUAUUUUAUGAAUAUUCUCCUUAUUUCAAUUAUAUCCACCUUUGUUCCUCAUCUUUUCACCAUUCUUCCUUAUUUUUUUCACCUUCUUAUUCAUUUUAACCUUUUUUCUUCAGUUCUCCAUAUGGGUUUCCUCGGAAAAAAUUUCUCCCUCUCUUGUUUCCUCUAAAAUAAUUUAUUCUAUUUCUUGUUUUAGUCUUCUUUUAUGUCUUAUACAUAUUGUUGAAAGAACACCAAUUUGAAUCUUCUUAUUAAACUCAUCGCUUUGUAGAGAAUAAAGUUGAAUCUCUUGAACCUUCUUUGUGUAAUCUGAGAUUAGAGAAUGUAAUUACUAGCCAAUUAAUUUUUUAUUUGCAAAAUUUUAUUUUUGUCUAGUUUUUUUAAUGUAAUAUAAGACGAUUUUUAAGAAAUGCAACACUAUAUGCCUUUUAUGUAUAUUUUUAAGAGCCGCAAAGUGAAUAUUAAUAAGGACUUAUUCAAUUGGAGUCUAGCAUAAAGCACAAUCACAAUUAAACCUAAAAUUAACACAGUACAUUACAUAUUAUUUAGGCCAAAAUUCCUAGAAUUAGUUAGUCAUCCGAAAGUAAUACAUCUGGAAUAAACUACAUAAAAAAUUUCGUACAAACCAUAAGUUAAUAUAGUUAGACAGACCCACCUUUAAGAGUCCAAAAUAUGGUUUUAAUAUAUAGGGGAAUAGUUCAAGGGAGACACCAGAUAAUCGAUAAAAAAGUAAUAGUUUAGGCAGGUUUUAAGUUAAGUUAAUGAGCAAUGUGUAAUGCUACGUGACACGUUUUUUAGAUAAAUAUGAGUGUGUACUAGACGCACCUCUAAAAAUAAGCAAUGAGGAGUUUUUAAUAUGAAGGACAAUAUAAUUUAGGGCGUAUUUUGGAGAUACGAAAUAGUUUAAGUAGGAAUUGAUGGUCACACAAUUCAACAUGGUGUUAAAGCAUGAGAUGGUCACGCAAUACAAGUGUUAAGAGAAAUUUUAGCUAGUUCAUAUGUUCAAAACUAUCAAUCGAUCCAAAAGCACAAUCUCCCUCUUGAGAGGAACCAAGCACUCCCAUUAUUUUUAUGUUUCUUUUAUAGCAGGCGGGAUUGUGGUAACAGAAUCCAAUGUGCAUUAGGAUGAAUGAAACAGAAAGCAACAAAUAGUUAAAUCUUCAAUUUUGUUCUAAAAUACACUAAAAUGUGAGCUAUUUGUAGAACAGAUUAUUCUACCGGUGCUUAAGUAUGCGUAUUCAUCCUUUCCAUCUCUUGAAAUGUGAUGGAAGAAAGUGGUAAUAUGUUGUAAGAAAAACGAAGAGGAAAAGAGUCGGGGGAAAAAAAAAAGGAAUGAGCAAAAUCAGAUAUGGCCAGCGAUAGGAACUAAAUCAAAGUAACUCUAGAAAGUGAUAUAUAUCAUAGGUUUAUUUCACUGCAUAGAAAGUACAUAAAACACUCAUAUAGCAUAAUAACACGACUAACAUGGUACAUCCAAUUGAAAUACUACUAUAAAAGAAUCAUAAUUUCUACUCCUAGAGAAAGCAUCCAAUAUGUUCUGCCAAACUAUCUCCAUGCCAUGCCCACGCAGCAAACUUCAUAGACCAAGAUGGAAAUCUCAAAACACAGUUGGGUACCUUCUAAUAGAGCGAGCAGUAUUAUAAUUACUCAAGGAGUAGCGGGUUUGUGUGGUGGAGAAAGUGAAGGAAAAGAUAUCUCUUUUGGUUUAGGAAUUUCUGGGAUUUCAGGCUUUGGCAUAGCUGGGACUUCUGGCUUUGGAAGCUCUGGUAGUUUUAGCUUUGGUAGUUCCGGGAUUUCUGGCUUUGGCACAAUUGGUGCCUCGGGCUUUGGCAAAGCUGGAACUUCAGGAUUUUUCAUAGCUGGAGGAACCUCGGUCUUUGGCACUGUUGGGAUUUCUGGCUUUUUCAGGGGAGGAAGCUCGGGUUUUGGCAUUGCUGGGAUCUCAGGCUUUGGCACAGCAGCAAGCUCAGGUUUUGGGGCAACUGGUAACUUAGGC
rnacentral:lncRNA from 1 species